rnacentral:misc_RNA from 1 species
UGUGGGAGCGGGCUUGCUCGCGAAGACGGUCUAUCAGUCAAGGAUAAUGUCGACUGACACACCGCCUUCGCGAGCAAGCCCGCUCCCACA